CUAGGAUGAACGCUAGCUACAGGCUUAACACAUGCAAGUCGAGGGGCAGCAUGGUCUUAGCUUGCUAAGAUUGAUGGCGACCGGCGCACGGGUGAGUAGCGCGUAUCCAAACCUUCCCUAUAGUAGGGGAUAGCCCGUAGAAAUGCGGAUUAAUACCCUAUGUUGUAUUUCGAUGACAUCUGACGAAUACCAAAGGUUCACCGCUAUAGGAUGGGGGAUGCGUCUGAUUAGGUAGUCGGCGGGGUAACGGCCCACCGAGCCAACGAUCAGUAGGGGUUCUGAGAGGAAGGUCCCCCCACAUUGGAACUGAGACACGGUCCAAACUCCUACGGGAGGCAGCAGUGAGGAAUAUUGGUCAAUGGGCGAGAGCCUGAACCAGCCAAGUAGCGUGCAGGAUGACGGCCCUAUGGGUUGUAAACUGCUUUUAUGCGGGGAUAAAGUGAGGGACGUGUCCCUUAUUGUAGGUACCGCAUGAAUAAGGACCGGCUAAUUCCGUGCCAGCCGCCGC
rnacentral:rRNA from 1 species